GGCGGACGGGUGAGUAAUACUUAGGAAUCUGCCCAUUAGUGGGGGACAACUCGAGGAAACUCGAGCUAAUACCGCAUACGCCCUACGGGGGAAAGCGGAGGACCUUUCGGGGCUUCGCGCUAAUGGAUGAGCCUAAGUCGGAUUAGCUUGUUGGUGAGGUAAAGGCUCACCAAGGCGACGAUCCGUAGCUGGUCUGAGAGGACGAUCAGCCACACCGGGACUGAGACACGGCCCAG
rnacentral:rRNA from 1 species